CAGAGCGCAGCUAAAAUAGUAUAGCACCUCCCUUACACCGAGAAGAUACCCGUGCAAGUCGGGUCGCACUGA
rnacentral:tRNA from 1 species